rnacentral:rRNA from 1 species
GGCGUGCCUAAUACAUGCAAGUAGAACGCUGAAGGAGGAGCUUGCUUCUCCGGAUGAGUUGCGAACGGGUGAGUAACGCGUAGGUAACCUGCCUGGUAGCGGGGGAUAACUAUUGGAAACGAUAGCUAAUACCGCAUAAGAGUAGAUGUUGCAUGACAUUUGCUUAAAAGGUGCAAUUGCAUCACUACCAGAUGGACCUGCGUUGUAUUAGCUAGUUGGUGGGGUAACGGCUCACCAAGGCGACGAUACAUAGCCGACCUGAGAGGGUGAUCGGCCACACUGGGACUGAGACACGGCCCAGACUCCUACGGGAGGCAGCAGUAGGGAAUCUUCGGCAAUGGACGGAAGUCUGACCGAGCAAACGCCGCGUGAGUGAAGAAAGGUUUUCGGAUCGUAAAAGCUCUGUUG